UCUAACUUAUCUCUCAGAUUACAGAUUUCAUAUUUUUUUCUUUCAGAGAUUAUCAAGAUCUCUUUAUUUCCAGCAGAUCUAAUCUUGAUUAUUGAGGUUCUCUUAGUCAGAAGAGAUGGAAAGCUCUACCUCGCCGCUGCCGAGCUCUAGCCCUGCCGUCUCCAUAUCCUCUCUGUCUCCGUCAAUAUCCACACCACCACACUACUACGGAUCGAUUCACGCAUGAGAGGCUGGAGAAUAAAAUG